GGUACCCAUGAAAUUUCUUUUCGUCAACAAAUAGAUUUUUUAUAUUAUUUUAGAGUAAUUGCUUCAUUCUUUUUCACUAACCGAGCAUUUAUUUUGCAGGCAUUAUUGACUUGACUGGUCAUUUCCCUCUCGAUCCAAGCCCAGAUUUCCAAAAAGUUUUAUGUAUUGGUCCGAUGACGCGAUACGCCGAAGAUCUAACACCAAUGUUCAAAAUAUUAGCCGGUGAUAAAGCAUCGUCGUUGAAUCUCGAUCACAAGGUUCCAGUUAACAAUUUAAAUGUGUUCUACUUAGAUAAUUGUGGAUACCCACUUGGAAAUAACCAACCCACACGAGAAAUUAAGAAGAAAAUUCAUCAAGCAGUGAACCACUUUAAAAGUAAAAGCUGUAAAUGCGAAAAGGCAGAUCUUCCAGAGUGGGACGAUUCGACUGAAAUCAGUCUGGCCAGUUUCUUUGGAUCGAUCCUGAAAUCCGUCAAUAAAACUCUCAACAACAUGUCAAUAAAGGUGAGAUAAUGUGAUUUGCAGUUAAUUUGAGAGCACUACUUCAGGAACCGAAGCUUGUAGAAAAUAUCGACGGUGGAUCUCCCAAGCGACGUAUCUGCGUUUGCGACGUUGCAGACUUCCUGCCGAAUUUUACUUUUUAAAUGGAAAACUACUCAACGGUAUUUCUUGAAAACUGCCGAGAUGUAGCCCCUCUGUGCGAAGAAAACUCUGUGAAAACCUCAAGGAAUGA
rnacentral:lncRNA from 1 species